rnacentral:rRNA from 1 species
AAUCUUGCGCAAUGGGCGAAAGCCGGACGCAGCGACGCCGCGUGCGGGAUGAAGGCCUUCGGGUUGUAAACCGCUUUCAGCAGGGACGAAAUUGCCGGUACCUGCAGAAGAAGGCCCGGCCAACUCCGUGCCAGCAUCCACGGUAACACGUAGGGGCCUAGCGUUGUCCGGAUUUGUUGGGCGUAAAGAGCUCGUAGGCGGUUCGGUAAGUCAGGUAUGAAAUCUCCACGCUCAACGUGGAGCGGUCAUCUGAUACUGCCGUGACUCGAGUCCGGUAGGGGAGUGUGGAAUUCCCGGUGUAGCGGUGAAAUGCGCAGAUAUCGGGAGGAACACCAGUGGCGAAGGCGGCACUCUGGGCCGGUACUGACGCUGAGGAGCGAAAGCGUGGGGAGCGAACAGG